rnacentral:sRNA from 1 species
AUGUGCCACGCGUAAACUCCGGUUCUGAGCGCGCCGCCCGUCCUCACCUGACGACCGCUCGCUACGUUUUGUCAGCC